GCACAGAGAGCGAGGGCUUGAAAUAGCACUCAAAAAAGAGACACAGCGAGGCAAACACAGGAGAGGGACACACAGUUGAAGUGAGUUAUUUUGUUUGAAAUGAUUUCAUGUCGUCGACAGCAGGACUAGAUUUUGUUUGUUUCUUAUUCACCCCUGUGGCGGACUAGUUAAAGACUCCCGGAGGAAAAAAUGUCUGACCUCCCGUAAACCACGCGGAGCAAAAAUGUAAAAUCAAGGCGCCUCAGCUCUGCCAGAAACCUCAUCAAGGUGGCUCAGUCUUUGUCUAAAAGAAAGAAGAGAAGGGAGAGAUGCAAGGUUCUCCGUGGCUGCGGGAAGAGUCCAGAACAAAACUUCAGUGUGGCCGAGAUCGCGCCGUCACAUCCAGUCCAUCCUCCGCCGCGGCCGCCAUGAUGAACUCCAGAUGAACUGGAUUGUAUCUGUGGGAGCUGAGCAGAUCGAGCCACGUGAUUGGACGAGGCCGGCGCUCCAUAUUUGGGAGAUUACUAAAGCCAGGUUCGGGCUGCCAUCGCCGCCCCCCACGUGUGAGAAUAACCUAAUCGCUCCACAGGCUUUUUAAUUAUCUCAUAAUGUCUGAUGUGUCUCGCUGCCAGUCUGGGAGAUGAAAGGCCCGGGAAACAGGGGGCUUCUGGACGGACUCCUGUGCUUUUUUCUUUAUUGUAAAUUGUGUAUAAUUAUGUUGUUUGAGACGUGUGAGACAGUCAGUGAGAUACAGAUUAAAAAUUCUGAAUUGUGUCAUGUUUACCUUCUUCUGAGUAAUGAAUUCUCAACAUGUAAUAUAUUUAUUAUUUUCUUUCCAUGAUGAAAAUAUUAUUAAAUACUGGUGCAAUUUAAAAAAUAAAACUAUUCGUGGUCUGCAUAUUCAUCUCUUUAUUAUCAUUAUUUUUAUUUUACUAAUUAUUAUUAAAUAUAAUUGUAACAAACAGAAUAAAUUGUUCAUUAUGGCAGAAAAAAUAUGAUCCACUCAGUUUCAAAAGUUUGAAUAAAAUUCUAAAUGAAUGAA